GAAAAUUUUAAUAUUUUUUUAAUGUGUAUGUCUCAAACAUCUUUGUUCCUCUAAUUGAUUUCACCCUCUUGAAUACUGGCUGUGUACAUAACGAGUGAGCUACUAGACUUAACCCUUAAAGUGCUGAGCUGUUUUGAAAUGAUUGCAUACAAAAUGGAAAGUACAAUUCAGAUGUUUAGAUGCUAAACUGACACACGCGUUGUAAGGGUUAAGUACCGUUAAGUAAGAGUAUAAAACCUGUUAUUUGAUUCACAGCUGCCUUCGUGUCUUCAGGUAAAAGAAAUAAAAACACUGACCUAUACAUAGCAAAAUUGAAGACAUUAUUUGAUAUAUAUUACAAUAAAUGCGUGGUUGGGAGGAUAAGUACUCUUGAACUUGGCAUGGCUGUGAAGGGGGGUUUGAGGUUCGACAUCCGACUCAGGGAGAGUUGCGUUUACUGAGCGCCUGAAAAACCUUCCAGAUACCCCCUCCCCCACU